GAAUUACUACCAAGAUAGAGAUUGCAACGCCACCAGGGGGAGAAGAGUUGGACCGAUUUAGGAGGCAUUAGGCUCAGUUUUGGCCAAUCUAUCACUUUGGGGUGAAUGUGUUCCGAAUUCUGAUUUGCCCUUUUUAGAUCGUUUUAUGAGGUCAUUGAGGUCACGGUUCUUAUUUGUUAUACAACGAGAACUACUAUGAAUGGAUAAAUUGGAAUUUUGCUAUUUUUAAUCUCUUCAUCUGCCUACUUUCUGCCAUUCAAUUGAAAUCCAAAUUUUUUCCGUACCUGCCGCCGUAUUAAGACCAAGGCCACUUAGCAUUUGUCCAAAUGAACUCGCGAUUUCCAUUCAUUCUUUCAUUACCAUCUACUUUGUUCUCGAUUUUCGAUACUUGAUUAUUUUCGUUCGAUCCAGUUCCCUUGCAGCAUUGAAGUUGUUGAUCCCGGAUAGUAGCAUCUACCUUGUAUGAAGGGUUAGUAUACCUUGGAUGUUGAAGAAAUUGGACACCUUUCCACCAUAGCUUGAAAGCCUGGUGUACACAAACAAACCGAAGAGAUAAUCAAGAAGAAGAGCAAUCACGUACUGAUUUCAGUGCACUUGUCUCAAAGUCAUUCAUCUAAAGUAAAAUGUGAUUGAAAGUGAUCUAUCCCUAGUCUCACAAAGGUAAAAAAGUGAAAAUUCAAGCAUAUUAUUAUUAUUCUUUCCGAACUCAGCAGACAUGAAAAGAAAUGAGUGGAUCAUAUAGUGCAAAUAUACGCCAUUUAGCCAUAUAAACAACAUGGUCCUGAGAUUGAGAUAUUGGCAGGAUUCUGUCGAUCAAUAAACCAUGUUGUUUUCAAGUCGUAAAAGGUGGGGUUAGUGGAGGAAAGGAGAAAAAUAAAAUAGGUUGGAUUUUCACACGCACCAAAGCUCUUGGUCUUUCUUGCGGGGAAGGCUAAAAGGAUAUUCUUGUUUCAAGAAGGCUUGAAACUACAUUUUCUUUGUUGUCCUACUAAUAGACGUAAGAGAUGGCCUAGGUUGGAAGCUCGACCAAGGAGAAAAUGUUAGCUCCGAUUAUGAGACAGUGAAAGAUAUGGUCAGAAAGAUUUCCGAUCUGUGGCAAGAUUGUGGAAAGGGUUUAGCCAUUUGAUCAAUUGUAGCAGUGUUUUUCUUCCUUUAACCGGCAAAGUUAUAACUUUAAGUAUGGAUAAUAAUAUUGGAGGAGAAAUCUAAUCUUGAUGAUAGCCAAGUGGAUUUGAAGAGUUUCAAUAAACCGAGUAAUUUCAAGUUGGUGUAGGAAUGAUAAAGAGGAGUGGGUGUACAAGAGAACUAAAGAAACAGAGCUAUUGUAUCCCUCGGCAGAAGAAUUAAUAAUCACGAGUAUAAUAGAAGAUACUCCUUGUCAGUAACUGAGAGGGGUUAGAUAAAAAAGAGGUGAAUAUAUUAUAGUUGAAUUUUCGCUCAAAUCACUAUUUCCAAGGUUAACUGGCAAUAAAAAGUCCUGCUCUUUUAGUUGGAAAGGUAAGGAGUAAGUUUUCUUGCUGGUUAGUGUCUUCUUGAAGAACUAAUAAAAUGGAGAGACUACAAACAAAAUAUCCUAUUGUUUCCUACCUUCAACAUUUAACAAAUCCUCGAUUUCUCAGCUAAGAAUAAAAAAUUGAAACUAUGUGCAAGCACACUUCAAAGAAAUGUCGAUGAUCCCAUCAAACCAUCAUCUUUGGUUUUGUGGCUGGAAGAAAACUAAUGGAUUUACUGCAAUAGAUAAAGGGUGGUGGAAGCAUGAUUGGCAAAUUUUCAAGUUUCUUCUUGGUACUUUGUUUGGAGAUCAUUUUGUAGCUAUUCUUCUUUUGCAAUUAACUCUUCCUUGUGCAUUUGUAUGCGUAUAUUUUAUUCAAGAUAAAAGGCGGAAUGAUAGGCAUUUAAUCAACUGGUUCUGGAUAAGAGAGAUGUUCACUUGAUUUGGAUUAAGACUUAAACAGAAAGGUGUUGAAGACACCUGAUAACGAAUUCAAAAGUAACAAAAAUUCUACUUACAUGCCAAUAUAUCCAUAUUGCAACUUUAUGCGGCAUCAAGUAAAAGAAACUUGAGUGAUCUGAUCCAAACGAUGGGGACACUCUUUUAAGUUUCAAAGUGGCAGAAAAGUAGUCACCAAGUUCAGGGUGCUGAACUGAGAUUGCAACAUAUAAAUAAUCACCGGGAGCACUUGAUUUGAUACUCCAAUUCCCAUGCAUGUCCUGAAAUUGUUCUGAAAAUGGUUAACAAUGUAAAGAACACGUGACAAUAAGAAAGGCUACAGCAAACUAAUUCAAUGGCAGUGAUGGAGAAUGGAGAUCAAGACAAUAGCAUGUAGAAGACCAUUUGAACAUCAAAUUUUUCAAAAACAAAAAUAGCGAUAAUGUCAAUAAUUCUCCCAAGCAUAGAAUCUUUAAAUGGAACACAAUACCAAACAUAGAAGUAGUCGCAGAAUCACCAAUCCAGAAAACUAAGAUUUGCUCCUGAUCCUAAAAAUUCUUCACCCAUCCAACUUAUAAAAUAAAGAAUGUAUUCUAAAUUUUUUC